rnacentral:ncRNA from 2 species
UUAUACAGACCGGUUUGCCCUCAUAUAUGUCCGAUAAUAAGGUUCGGAUGUUUCUACCAAGUCGCCGGAAAUGACUUGACUAUGAAGGCGAAUGCACCCAUG